CUCAGAUUGAACGCUGGCGGCAGGCUUAACACAUGCAAGUCGAGCGGGGAUAGGGUGCUUGCACCUGAUUCCUAGCGGCGGACGGGUGAGUAAUGCUUAGGAAUCUGCCUAUUAGUGGGGGACAACGUUCCGAAAGGGACGCUAAUACCGCAUACGUCCUACGGGAGAAAGCAGGGGAUCUUCGGACCUUGCGCUAAUAGAUGAGCCUAAGUCGGAUUAGCUAGUUGGUGGGGUAAAGGCCUACCAAGGCGACGAUCUGUAGCGGGUCUGAGAGGAUGAUCCGCCACACUGGGACUGAGACACGGCCCAGACUCCUACGGGAGGCAGCAGUGGGGAAUAUUGGACAAUGGGGGGAACCCUGAUCCAGCCAUGCCGCGUGUGUGAAGAAGGCCUUUUGGUUGUAAAGCACUUUAAGCGAGGAGGAGGCUUACCUGGUUAAUACCUGGGAUAAGUGGACGUUACUCGCAGAAUAAGCACCGGCUAACUCUGUGCCAGCAGCCGCGGUAAUACAGAGGGUGCAAGCGUUAAUCGGAUUUACUGGGCGUAAAGCGCGCGUAGGUGGCUAAUUAAGUCAAAUGUGAAAUCCCCGAGCUUAACUUGGGAAUUGCAUUCGAUACUGGUUAGCUAGAGUAUGGGAGAGGAUGGUAGAAUUCCAGGUGUAGCGGUGAAAUGCGUAGAGAUCUGGAGGAAUACCGAUGGCGAAGGCAGCCAUCUGGCCUAAUACUGACACUGAGGUGCGAAAGCAUGGGGAGCAAACAGGAUUAGAUACCCUGGUAGUCCAUGCCGUAAACGAUGUCUACUAGCCGUUGGGGCCCUUGAGGCUUUAGUGGCGCAGCUAACGCGAUAAGUAGACCGCC
rnacentral:rRNA from 1 species